GUUAACAUGUCCGAGUGGUUAAGGAGAUAGACUUGAAAUCUAUUGAGCUUUGCCUGCGCAAGUUCGAAUCUUGCUGUUAACG
rfam:Ipomoea nil DNA, scaffold: scaffold3065, cultivar: Tokyo-kokei standard.